GUCUGUGGCAAUGAAAAUGUCAGUGAAAGCCGUGAAUUUUAUGUCUUGAAAUAGGUAUGGUAUGGUGAUGGUGGUGCGAAGUGAUGAUUGCAACGUAACUGGGAUUAUUUUCAGCGUUUAAAUAAGUGACCUGGAUUCUUUUCAACGUUUAAACAUGCAAUUCAGGGAUGUUUUGUGUGCGAGAAUUCCAAGACUACUGCAACGACAACAACUUUUGGGUUCUGAAAUACGCAGCCCUUAGUUGAUGGUACGAAUGACCCAGUGAUUACCAUGAAUUCACCAAAAUUAGAUGAUUGCUUGGCACACUGCAGUGCAAUGCGGAAAUUUUGUCGAGAAGGAUGAAAGGACAACCUAGGAAGUGCUGGAUCACCGGACCAAUAGGCAGUUCAUGAUAUAAAUCAGCCCAUCAGUCUCACUCAACGAAGUGCGAGACACUGACCAAACAGCGCAGACAUUAGCAGUGACUUUUAUGAUAGUUUUCGUGACGGCCGCCACCGCCACUUCUCGUCUCGUUCCCUAUUGAGACUCCAAAUUCCCGUGAGGAAUUGCUGGAAGUGUCCAAGGAUUUUGAAUUUCAAUGGCAGUUUGCAAAUUGCAUAGGCGCCCUCGAUGGGAAACAUGUGGUUAUCAAGCAACCACCCAACAGUGGUAGUUUGUAUUUUAAUUACAAGGGUACUUACAGCAUUGUUCUUUUAGCGUUGGUUGAUGGAAACUAUAAAUUCCUGUACAUUGACGUUGGCUGCAAUGGUCGGAUAUCUGAUGGGGGUGUUUAUGCAAACAGUUCUUUGUCAAGUGCUUUAGAGAACAAAUUAUUAAAUAUACCUAAUGAAAGGCAGUUAGAGGGCUCAGGAAAUGAGGAUAAAGUACCAUACGUUGUUUUUGCUGACGAUGUCUUUCCUCUGAAAUCAUACAUUAUGAAGCCAUAUCCAUACCAAAAUCAACCAGCCCCAAAUCGCAUUUUCAACUACAGAUUAUCCAGAGCACGCAGAUUUGUUGAAAAUGCGUUUGCUCUUAUAUCUGCACGUUUCCGUGUUUUAAAACGACCAAUGGAGAUAUCGCCAGAAAAGGUGAAGUAUAUUGUUUCAUGUAUAUGUGUUCUACAUAACUUUUUACUAACUCGAAAUCAGUCCAAAGCUGUUUAUGCUCCACCAGGAACGUUUGAUAGAGAAGAGGUUGAUGACAUUGUUGAGGGAAAUUGGAGAAGAGAGGGAUUUCCGAGAAGUACCUAACAUCCCCUGCAACCCAAUCCAGCCGGAAACUCUGUAAGGUUGGCCAAAGUUAUUCGUGACCAGUUCAAAAAAAUAUUUCAUGACAACGGUGGGCGAGGUUCCUUGGCAAUAUAAACAUAUUUAAAAUUCUAUUGUCAUCUUAAUGGUAGCUACAUGAAUAUCAUGGAUUUGAGGAUAGGAUUUGGUGGAUAGAUGGAUGAAAGUGAAAUUUCUAAAUUUGAUAUAGGAUUGUACUUUAUUGAAAGUAAAUGACUAAUUUCAUAAGAGUUUUCAUGAUUUAUCGCCACAUACACAUUUAAUAUAAUUAUGUGUUUGCUUGUGUGUUCCUACUUGU